GUUAAAUUGUACUACUUUAUUUUGUUAUUCCAUUAUUUACGUUUAGACCAAGUACAACCCAACAAGUACCCUUUCAUGUGGACUUUAAGAACAAAUACUCUUGUGAAAUGACUCGAAGACUUCAUUUGAAAUUUUCAGGAAAACUUGAGUCAUCUUAGGCCGCACGCAGUAUGCCUUCAGUUUUUGGAUUGUGUCAAGAAUGAUACGAAUGAUAUGAUUUCUUCUGCUGACUGUAAGAUGAUGGAAGAAAAAUAGCACUUGGGCAUGGCACGACAGCUGAAGAAGUCACAUACUUGUGUUUUGCAGCACCACGACAUUUAAUGGGUAUUGUAUAAAAUUACUUUACACCGAACAAGGAAAUCUUCUUUUAAUACAUUAUUUUAUCCGUUUCCUAUCUCGUUUCAGUUAGUUCUCUUUAUUUGAUCAAAGGUUCAAUUUAACGGUUUCUUCAAGCUUUGCUUAAUUAAUUUUGUAAGUUGAAAUAUCUUACUUUCAACUAUCUAAUGCUACUUGAUGUUAUGAUUUUAUCUGCGAAUAAAUUUUUGAAUUUCUUUUAUAUAUAAUUUAGCAGCUUAUGAUGCUUCAUUUUGACAAUUGUGUCAUCAUAUCCCCAGAUCCACAAAAGACAUUAUGACCAACCACGGUGUUGUCCUUUUAUAUUAAAAUAAUAUAUUUUUAGGAUGCUAAUGAAAUGCUUUUAACUUCAUUGCUAACUAAUUAUGAAAGAAAGGGGCAAGAUAUUAAGAAUGUAUAUAGUGCUACUUCAAUUAAGUAAGUUUUACUUUUUUUGGUGAUUAUCUUUAAUUUAUAUGUAAAAAAAUGUGGAUAUGGAUGGAAAGAUUUUAUAUAUAUAUAUAUACACUUAUAUGUCCAACCAUUUUUUAGGAAUUUGUUCUAAUUGUCCCCGUGUCAUGGAAGAUGAAGAGUUACCAAAUCCUUGGUACUUUGCCUUAACUUUGUAUUAAUAGAUACUAUGUGUACUAUUAUAUUUGACUCCUUUGUAAUUCAAAAAUGUGUGAUAUACUUGCCAAUUAGAACAUCUGGAUCCUUACUCGCUUUAACAAAUAUACUGCCGAGUGAGGUAAGUGAUCAAGAAAAACCAAGAAAAAUGAUUGAUUUCAGAUUCUCUAAUUUUCAAGCCUACAAGUACAAUUUUACACCCUUUUUUCAAGCUUUAAGAUUUGUAGGGAACCAUAGUGUUCUAUUUUGGAUGAUGUUGUUUUAGUAUUUAGUAGUUAUUCUUAGAUAGAAGUUAUGCUUUUAGUAUGAUCUAAAUUUCUUCUGUUAUUUUUGUAUUGUUUGAAUUGCAACUUCUGAUGUAUUAGCAAACUGGGAGACGAUAUCAAAACAUGAUACUUUAUCGUCUUCAUAAUUACAAUAUGCUAGAAUUGAGAGGAUGAUCAUAAAGUAAGAGAUUAAUGAUGUUUGGAAAUGAUUUAGGAACAACAUAUAGUGAGUUGAUUUUCUCCAUAGUACAUUGGAUUGUUCAGAAGUUGUUGACACCAAUACAAUAUGAAUGAUAAACUGUAAAUGCAGAAUGUUCAUAACAACUUUGAGCACGAGUUGUGCUAACAUUUUUUUAGUCCUACUACAUGAUGAUUUGGUGACAUUGUCUAUAGUUUGCAUAUGCUAGAGUCAAUAGAAUUUAUGUCUCUGCUUACUUGAUCAUACCUCUCACUAAUACAUCUACAUAACUUGAAUAAAUUGUUCCCUUACAAUUUAUGUGUUAUAUAUCUGAAUAAUAUUUAGCAUACUUUAUUAAUUACGGAGAACAAAUCAACUUAUAUGUUGGGCCCGUACUACCUCUCUAGUGUAUAUAUAUAUAUGUAUGUAUAUAUAUGAAUCACUGCUUAUAUAUAUUUUUAAAAGUUCAAAAUAAUAUAUUACAUGAUUGAAUGAUAUACUGCGGAUAACUAUCGUGUGUAACGUAUGUAGAAAUUUCCUUCUGCAAUCAAAUUAGAAUGAUUUAAUCAUUUUUGUUUACAAUAAUAUAUUACAUGUUUGGACCUAAUAUCAAUAAAAUUUAAUUUGGUUUUAAUUUUAAUUACUCAAUGAAGUUGUGUUGUUCAAAUCUUGUAGAUUAAUUGAUUGUCUAAUCAUCUGACACACAAUAUUAUCUAUUUUAAAUUGUGUGUUUUUAAAAAAUAGUUUGUGAUAAUCAUCACAAUUUGAUUUUGACAUAUAUAACUCAUAUCGUAAUAAUGUGUUUAGAGGACUCAUGUGCGAAACACGUGUUCAUAACUAGUUUUUCAUAGGAAUAAACUCUUUAAAAGAUUUCUUUUAUAUGUCAUAUGAUUUGUACAACCAUUAUCAAUUAUCCAAAAAUCAAAUUUGGACAGUUGUUUCAUCCUUUGGAAAUUUUAUUUUUGCAAAUUACAACU